rnacentral:misc_RNA from 1 species
UUAUAAGGAAGCUAAGGCGGGAGAAUAAGGAGGGAGAGAGGAAUGAUCUCAAUCAGAAGACGAAUAUGGGAACAGAAGAUAAAGAGAAUCCAAGUAAAAUGGCAAUACAAAGUGACAAAAGGAAGGGAAAUCAAAUUGUAGAGGGAAGUAACAAGAAAAUUUGUCUCAACAGCUCUCACUAUGACAGGGUGGAGGAGGCCAGCCCCGAUUGGCCCCAAGGAAACAAAUGAGGCUUAUGAGCUGGAGCUGUCAGGGUGUGGGGAACCCCCUG